GACGUAAAUUUCCUGCGCGUCCGAGCGAGCCGAGACGCGUGAAGGGGACCAAGUUCACUUUUCCCUGCGGAUUCCGGUGCUAGUGUGGCCUGUGCUCCUACAGCAUGAAGGAGACGCCACUUUCAAACUGCGAGCGCCGUUUCCUACUCCGCGCCAUCGAAGAGAAGAAGCGGCUGGAUGGCAGACAAACCUAUGAUUAUAGGAACAUCAAGAUCACGUUUGGAACAGAUUAUGGAUGCUGUAUUGUGGAACUUGGGAAAACAAGAGUUCUUGGACAGGUUUCCUGUGAACUUGUUUCUCCAAAACUCAAUAGGGCAACAGAAGGUAUUCUUUUUUUUAACCUUGAACUCUCUCAGAUGGCUGCCCCAGCUUUUGAACCUGGCAGGCAGUCAGAUCUCUUGGUGAAGUUGAAUAGACUCUUGGAAAGAUGUCUAAGAAAUUCGAAGUGUAUAGACACUGAAUCUCUCUGUGUUGUUGCUGGUGAAAAGGUUUGGCAGAUACGUGUGGACCUACAUUUAUUAAAUCACGACGGGAAUAUUAUUGAUGCUGCCAGCAUUGCUGCAAUUGUAGCCUUGUGUCACUUCCGAAGACCUGAUGUCUCUGUCCAAGGAGAUGAAGUAACACUGUAUACACCUGAAGAGCGUGAUCCUGUACCGCUGAGCAUCCACCACAUGCCCAUUUGUGUCAGUUUUGCUUUCUUCCAGCAAGGUACAUAUUUAUUGGUGGAUCCCAACGAACGAGAAGAACGUGUAAUGGAUGGCUUGCUGGUGAUUGCCAUGAACAAGCAUCGAGAGAUUUGUACUAUCCAAUCCAGUGGUGGGAUAAUGCUGCUGAAGGAUCAAGUAUUGAGAUGUAGUAAAAUAGCUGGUGUGAAAGUAUUGGAAAUUACAGAGCUAAUACAGAAGGCUUUGGAGAAUGACCAGAAAGUUAGGAAAGAAGGUGGCAAGUUUGGCUUUGCAGAGUCUAUAGCAAGCCAAAGAAUCACAGCAUUUAAAAUGGAAAAGGCCCCUAUUGAUACCUCUGAUGUGGAAGAGAAAGCAGAAGAAAUUAUUGCGGAAGCUGAACCUCCUUCAGAAGUUGUUUCUAAACCUGUGCUUUGGACUCCUGGAACUGCCCAAAUUGGAGAGGGAAUAGAAAACUCCUGGGGUGAUCUUGAAGAUUCUGAGAAGGAAGAGGAUGAUGAAGGUGGCAGUGAUGAAGCUAUCAUUCUUGAUAGUAUAAAAAUGGACACUAGAGAAGUCUCCAAUAUUGGAAGUCAAGAUGCCCCCAUAGUACUCUCAGACAGUGAAGAAGAAGAAAUGAUCAUUUUAGAACCAGACAAGAAUCCAAAGAAAAUAAGGGAGGAACAGUGACAUGCUCAUCAUUUAUAGGAAGAUCCUUAAGAGGUGCAACCUAAAAAGAAAUAAAUAUUUGGCUUUGAGCCUGUUGAAUGGAGUUUUGGUUUCUUCCCCUUAUGGGUCUCAGUGUCUGCUUUUUACUCCCAAAUACUCAGGAAAUUAAACUGGGGCUAAGUCCAUGCGGUAAAGUUUGAGUGGCUGAAGAAAGGGAUGUUCAAAUUCGUUACAGGCAUUCCUACAUAAGUUAUAAAAAGAGUCACACUAAGUGGAAGAUACAAAACUAAUCAAGGCCACAAGAUGGGUGGAGGGGCAGGCUGAGAAAUGACAAGUUUAGGAGAGCCGGCAAAGAGGUGUCGGUUCACUACUUUCGCCCAAGGGUGGAGCAACCGAGCAAAUGCGGCAAAAUGGCGGAAUUUACUAAAAGCAAAGUAUUUUUUAUACCCUUUCUUAAAGUUGAGGUAAUCUUAACCAUUUGGAGAGGGGAAGGAGGUCCAGAUACUAGGGCAGGGCCUGGGGUUUAAAGCGGCGAGAAAAGCGGGGACACACGUAGGACUUGAUGAGGGUUUGGUUUGACCCCCAUUAUCUAUAGAAAAACAUCCCCAAUAAACAGCAGACAGGCAACAUAACAGCUGGCGAAGAGAGCAAUGGGGGAGAAGCUAUUAAGUGGCAUCCCACACGCCAGAAAACUAGGGAUCAAGGUGACUCAAGACCCAGGGCUCCCUUUAAAAAAGCUCGGAAGAUGCUUUCUUGCCACGCUCCUCGGCCUGCUAAACCUCGUGCAAAACUCCCUCUCGGCCCACCCUCCUGCAGAUACCGCUCAUCUCUUUACCCGUCGUGUCUUGGGCCUCUGCUGCGGUGCUGGAACGCGCGGAUUCCCAGCCUUGAGUACGGCCAGCCCGGCACGAGUGCGGGGCUGCUGGGUGGGCGCCACCUUCUCAGGGUUGAUGUUCUCCUGGUCCUCUUGGAGCUCCGUAUGCUGCAAUGCUAGCAGCGCCGAGCCCGCCUCGCGGGACGCAGGCCCCGGCGCGGAGCUGCCCAACAUCACUGCUCCCGGGGUCGCGGCGGAAUCAGCCUGGGGCGCCUAGCGGCGUGUACUCCGUCCCGCCGACCCCAACAAGAAACGCUCCAGCCGUAGCAAUCCGCCGCAGCCCGGGCCAGCCUGCCCGCUUGAGAUCACGGAGUUCCAAGUAAGUUGAGAAAGGCGUAGGCAGGAACUGCCGGGCGUGGAGGGCUAAAGACGCCCCCGAGAUGUCGCGAGCAGCCCGCCGGAGCGGCGGCUGUUCAUGCAGUUCAAGUAUCCCGCGACUAUUGAAAUGAGCCAAUGGAAAGGGCCGACGCCCGUGACGUCACUCUGGGCGACACAGUCGCAGGCGAAUGAAGGCGGCCGCGAAGGCCACGGAACAGAGGCGGAGAAACGCCGAACGGCGGCGGGAGGGAAAACGCCUGCGCCGAGCGAAGAGGCGGGUCCCGAGUUUCUGGUGACUUUAAACUGGGCCACUAGCCUCAAAGAAAGCAAUCAAUGCAUUUUGAUCAUAACUGUCCAGAAUCUCCAGUAAAAGAGCUCAACAAAGUGCUAUUAUUUCCGACCCCCAAAAAAGAAAACUGAAGCUCAGAGAGUUAAAUAAUCCAGAACAACCGUUCCAGACCUUAUUUUCCCUAACUUCUCUCCAGGAGCCACACUUAGUUCUGGGACUGCUAGUGUGUGCUAGUACUGAACAGAAAGAAGUGAUAUAUUAAGCAUAUCCAAAAGCUCUGAUACAAUCUCAUCCAAGAUACUUUACACAUGGUGCUGAAUGAACAAAACAGACAUAAGCUUCUCAUGAGCUUACAUUCCACUGGAAUCAGGAGGGACAGACUCGGUUAUAAAUGUAAGGUAUACUGAC